GUAACCAGUGCUGUUUAUCUCGGUUAUUUUAUCUCGGAGUGAUGGUUAAUAUAGCCCUCUUGUAAAAUGUUGGUGGAAAACUUUUUAGCAAUUUGCCUUUUUACAUUAAAUAAAUAAAUAAAUAAAUAAUUGUUCUUAGUAAUAUAAUUGACAAUAUUAUUUCCACACUCCCUCCACUAUUCACUCCUGUGUAUUGUCACUAGUGUUAAUGAUUUGGGUUCAGCUGUGAUGGGCAUAGAGAAAACUGGUCAACCAAAUCAUCAUCAUAGUUAUAGUAGUAGUAGUAAUAAUAAUAAUAAUAAUAAUAAUAAUAAUAGUUAAUAAAAAACAAUUAUGUGGUAGGUUUCUGAAUGAUUUUAUCAUACUCACUAAAUAUUGAGAUCAGUAUCUGCUUAACUCUUUGGCUACUAUUUUAGCUGAUUUCAGUUCAAAGUUCAAGAUGUUGGAACAUCCAUCUAGAUGCACUUGUUCGGGGGGGUAUUAAGAUCAACAAGUCCAACUAACUACAUACCAUAUUCCAACAAGUGCAGAGUGGUUGGAUAAUUUAUGGGACGGAUUAUAUAGAUGUAAACUUUUUACCAGGAUGCUUUGGUUUGAGCAGAGUUGAUGCAGUAAAAUGUUUAAAUUUUGUGUGUUUUAAAGAAGGCACCAGGCUUUGCAAGCAUUGCCAGCAUUGUCAGUGGGUUGUUGGGAAAUUAAUACAUUUCAGAAGGAUUUAAUACAAAGAGGUUAUCUGAACAUAGCUCCACAGCUACAUCCCCUCCUGCUGGUGGUAACAAGUGCAAGACCUUAUCUGUCCUGCAUUUUGAAGAAGUUAUUUAGAAUGCUGAGAUGAAGACCUGUUGCCCUACUGGCCAGCAUUCCAGCCCCAUUCAGUAGUUCUUGGAAACAACGUUGGCAAAGGCAGAACAUGUUUAAGACUCACUCCUCAGCUUACAGAAAGGAGUGAAGAGAAGUUUACCUUCUCACAUGUUCAACAUUUUUGCUUUUUCUUCCCAAAUAAACUUAACUUUUCCUCUCUCCCCCAAACCCCCCACCCCCAGAUAUGAUACAUGAUAAAACAGAAAUGAAUUGUCUUUCUUGAGCUUUUACAAGUUUUUGCAAUUGCGAUUUUUAAAGAAGGACUAUAGGAACCGGACUCUUGUGGAUUCAUUUGGGGGAAGUGGGUAACAUGCUGUUCAUUAAUACAUUUCAGAAACACGACCACAUUUAAAAAUAAUCAUAUUAAUGUUUGCAAAAGUUUAAUCAUGAUCGUAUACUAGACUUUUUUUUUUGUUGUUGUUGUUUUAUCCCCAUCUUCAUGACCAAGCCUCCUCCUCCUUGC
ensembl:lncRNA